GAUGAAGAACGUAGCGAAAUGCGAUAAGUAAUGUGAAUUGCAGAAUUCAGUGAAUCAUCGAAUCUUUGAACGCACAUUGCGCCCGCGAGUAUUCUCGCGGGCAUGCCUGUCCGAGCGUCAUUUCAACCCUCAGGGCCCGCCUGCUUGCAGGCGCGGCGCUGGUGUUGGGGAUCGGCUACCCUGCCGUCCCCCAAAUACAGUGGCGGUCUCGCUGCAGCCUCCCCUGCGUAGUAGCAACACUCGCAUGCGGAGCGCGGCGCGGCCACGCCGUAAAACCCCCGACUUUCUGAACGUUGACCUCGGAUCAGGUAGGAAUACCCGCUGAACUUAAGCAUAUCAAUAAGCGGAGGG
rnacentral:misc_RNA from 1 species